UGAAGGUUUAGCAGCCUUUGUAAGCAGGCUGGGUAUCACUUCGGUGUUUGCCUGAUCCCAGAGUAAUCCACUGAGAUACAAUAAAUUGAAACAACAAAGUUUUGUGGCUCAUAGGGUGGCCCUUUGGGGUUCUUACUCAAUUUUUAGAAGAAAAUGCUCACGAGGCUGAAUUUUUCUUUAAAAAAAAAACAUAUAACUGUACUCUAAACUGUGUAGGCUUAGCCAACUGCAUGGCACUUCUAUGAUUGUUCUGCUGUUUUGUGGUAAAUGUUGAAAUAUUUCCUUAACUCAUCUUAAUAAAAAUAAUAUUCUUGUUCUAAAACGAGCUUAAAUCUGAAAUGCAGCAUGUCAAUGUUAAGGCAAAUAAUACUUUGUUCGUAUUCCCCAUGGAAUUAGGAUAACUGAGCUCAUCUUCUUACAUGAAAAGGGCCACUUCAGUAGUUACGUUUAUGUGGUACCAUAUAUCAUGGGCAGAAGGAGCUGAGGAGGCAGGGGGUCUUACCUGAAUCUCCAAGAGGCUGUAGGAUGGGCUUGUCCAGCUCUGGAAAACAAGAGUAGGAAAGGAAGGCUUCACUAAGAGGGAGAAGUUCCUCAGCUGGUGAGGUGGGUUUGCUGUCCCACAUAGGCAGCAGUGUUUUCUAAACUUCUUAGUGCUGUGUUCUCCUCAGAGAAAAGUGAGAAGUGAAGCUAGUGGGGCUGGAGACUUCAUCCCCUAAUUGACUUCACAAGGGACACACCAAUAUUCGUAUGACAAACACAACUCAUCUUAACCAGAGGAGCAGCAGCUCUCUGAGGAUCCUGUCUGGCUGGUGCGGUGUUCAUCCCUGAAUAUUUUCAGCCCUGGUGCUGGUCUCCACUGCAACUUUCCUCUCCUUACUUGCUUGAGCACAGUGCUGAAGACCAGACAGUGGCUCUCCAGGCAUAUAUGUAUCUGGGUGAUGUUGUGCAGCAAGUGACAGUGUCUAGGAAACAUCCCCAGAACAUCACAAAAAUAUCUGCGCUCCUGAUUUGGGGAGAGGAUGUGCUGCAUGGCCCAGAGGAAGCUCACGAGCAUCUCUCACCUGAGGAACCAGCCACCAAAUUUGUUGACAGUUUACAUGGUACACAGGAGGCAACUCUGCCCUGGGCAGUACUUUGGGCUCCAUGAGCACGAGCUUGUUCAGACACGACUCCUGGGGACAGAACUGCUGGCUGGAUUGCUGGACACACCAACAGCAAAGGGAAAUGUUCUCCUCCUUAAUCCAUACACGAGGCGGUAAUGCAGGUCCUGCUCCCUAUGUCCAGUAAGCAAACAGAAGCAUGGAGAAGCACCAGCAACCUACAGCUUAAGCCCCUUUAAAGGGUUUUCAAGCCAGGCAUGUGAGCCAGAGGCAUCCAAAGUCAGCAGUGAGGACAGAGUGGAGCACAGCACCCUGUCUGCAGCCACAAGCCACCGCCGAUGGAUGAAGCUGAGGGUCAGCAGCACUGGGGAUGCUGGUGCUGAGCUCCUGUGUGGAGCAGUGCAUUCACACCAAGCUGUGAGCUGCGGUGCCUUGGCAGGACAGCCGUGCUAAAUUUAGGAGGCUAGUCCCUCGUUUCUGUGCUACAGCAUCACGUCCAGGCUCUUCAGGGCGCACUAAAGCAGAACACAACAGCGAAGAGCAGAACGCCAGGGCUGGUCUCAUAUCUCCUCUUCAUGUCCACUCCAGACACCAGGUAAAGCCCAUCUCAGACAUGUUUUAAAGCCCAUCUCCCUCCCCAGAUACUCACUUGUAGCAACACAAGCAACUUCUCGAAGACAGGCUCGUAUCACUGUGCAUCUUCCCAAUUAAACAAAAUGUUUGGGAAUUUUCCAGAAGAAUUUCCAUUCUUCCCCUUCCACCCCCCACAUUUCUUACUUUUACACGGUUUGAACACUCAUGUCCACGUUUGCCUUGAGAUACACAAUGCCUUGAGACAGUUCGCGCUUUCAUGAAGCAACUCAGACAUUUAGUCCUUUUUCCAGGUCCCCCAGCACAGCUUGGCCUGAAAGGACAGCAAGCAGCUUCUCUUCCAGCUUGUACAGGUUGUCCCUACCCCAAGUUUAUGUGACUUCAAGUAGAUCCCAUCAUUUCCAGUGGGCAACAGUUCACACAAUGGCCCCACUCCUGCCUCACUUCUUGGCCUUCUGCUCCUGUGGUGCUGGGAUGGGUGUGAGGCAAUACUGGGGCACGUGUUGGUGCCAUUGGCAUCCCCAAGAUACAGAGUCUUUCUCAACUCAGGCGUCUGCCCGGGAUCUGUGGAGAGGGCCUCACACAUAUUCCUCCCUCAGAAACCCCCUGGCUCAGAAGCAAGAAGCAUCACAUCCCCGUGAAACCCGGUACUUCAGCUAAUCUAAAGCCCUGUAGGGAGUUGGGGCUAAUUAACUGAGUGCUGUGGCAUCCUGACAUAACUAUAUGGCUUCUGGGACCCACGCUAGUAUUUCUACCAAGCGUUCUCCUGCGCUGGGUGAUAUAUCUGCCUGGUCAAUGCCUGCUCAGGGGCCCCAGCAGAGGACUGGAGGCAGGGAUUAUGGACUUGGCAGCCGUCACUUUCUGUCAUGCCCACAACCACAUUUCACCCGGUGAUAUUUGGAGUCGUCGGUGCUACUUGGAAUGCAUUUUCCUGAAUAUAAGCUGGAAAUUACUGAUUUUUACCUUACACAGCUAGUAUAAAAGCACUAAUGUCCUAAUGAAGAGUCUCACUUAGCUAAAUGCUUCAUACAGCUGAGUAAAACAAAGAAUUUUACUAGAGCUUAACCCAGUCGUUAAUAAGCUUUUUAACCCUGACCUUUCAAAUCAAUGAUCUACCACUGGUUUUACCUUUCAAGAAGGAAUUCCAUUUUCAAGUGAUAAAACAUAUUUUGCACUCCUUACAAUCUAAUGAUUAUUCUCAGCGUUACUGGAUAUAUGAGGCCAUCAAACCAUUAGAAGGUAUAAAAUGUAUUAAUGUACAGCAUUCACGGCUACAUUUGCUUUAGAGUCAAUAAAAGGGAAACAAUUUAUAAAGGGCAUUUGUGCUCAUUACGGAAUAUCGAUAGAUUGUUUCUCCCAUCAUUUCUGAAGUAUGAAGAACUCCAUUUCAUGACGGAUAGCAGAGGAUUUGCAUAAGCUCUUUGCUUACUCCAUGAACUUCUCCAGCACAGAGCAGCAUGCAGGGGCUGUGGCCAGGUUGGAGCAGACUGGGCUGAGAUGUACAUGGGGUGACUGUGGUGGUCCCCACAAAUUGUUCCUUCCCAGGGGAUUGAGCAUCUCAAUUUGAGAGUCAUUCACAGUAGCCACAGGAAGGUUCAGCAGAUAUCUAUGGUGAUUUCUGCAUUAAACAUUAAUUAGCACAAGGCCGUGGGCAGACAGGAUUGAGGUUAGAAAAGAACAAGAGGAAUUAUUUGUGGGGAAGGUCAGGGAUGAUGAGCACAAGCGCUGCAAGAGCUUUGCAGAGCACCUUCCUAAGCAGCAGGAGGACGAGGGAGGCUGCUCCACACGUAGGGGAGAAAAUGGAAAGGAAUUACAGGUCGGAUAGAAAAGGAUACAGGAGCAUCAGUGCAAUGGCUAAAGGCAGAAGUUUCAUAGUCUGUACUAGUGAAUAACUCAAUUAACUGCAGAAAUAAAAUCUAUGAAGAGACAAAUGAUUAAGGCACUGGCCUGAGUCUCAGCAGACUCCGGCUGUUUUCAGGUUUCUGUCUGACUUUUGGCAAGCCUCUUCAACUCUCUGUGCCUUCGUUUCCCAUCUGUUAAGGAGGAAUAAUAAUAUUUCCUUUCUCUCCUGCCUAUUCCAGCAGUAAGCUCUCCUGGCAGGCACUGUAUCUCUCACAGCAUGUGUACAGGACUUUGCUCGCUGGGGUUUUGAUAUCUGCACUGAAGCAGGACGUACGGGGAUGAGGAGUGCUGUGACAGAGCAGCCCACUUUCAAUUUCUGAUGACCAGGGGACUAAAAGGUACACUAUAACUUGUUGAAGAGAUUUCUUAAUAUCAGUUCUUCAAGGACAACAGAAGAAAAAAAAAAAUCAAUCAGUAAAUUAGAGAAGGAUAGUGAUUCCCAUCUCUGUUAAGACCGGUAGGAGUCUGAAAUUAUCUUCCCAAGCAGAAAUAGUUUGUGAGAACACAGAAGACAUUAACUGCAGUACAAAAACAGACACAAGGACUUCUCCAUUUCUGAUCUUGCUGCUCUACUCGUCUGGCUUCUCUAUACAGACUGAGCUUCUCCACAUUUCUCACUGACAAGCCACCUUCUUGAUGCACGUAGUGGUUUCCCUCGCAUGCAUAUGCUCCUGCCCACGUGGUAAGAUGAAAUUGUGCCCACUCACAGGCACACACACAUCGCAAGCAAGGCUAGGUAAUAUCAGUUGCAGAGUAUUAUUUUAAGAGGACAACUGGCAAAUAUAUAAAAUUGAAUUUCAGCUGCAGAGACUUUCUGGUAAUAAGCAGUCCCAAUUAGAAAUACAAAUGUCACUGAAAGGGAGUGCGUCUGUUGACAGUAGACUUUGGAGAAAACUUUGGGUUUAGUGCUAGUAAAUUAAUCUUUAAUUAUGACCACUUCUCACUUCUGACAGAAGUGGCCUGCACAUACUCAAUGGACAGUGUGUGAAAGUUUCGGGGUGUUGCUUUCUUCUGACAAAUGAAACAUCUCGUCCCACAGAGGCCUAGCUCGGCUCAAGCCUGGGCCUGCUGCUGCCAGUGGCGCUGCAGAUGGUGAGAAGUCAUCUGUUAAAAACUCUGGUACUAAAACAGCAUCGCUCCCAUGCUCCUGAUAAACACAAAUACCAAGACUAAGACCUGUCUCGGUGUGGGUUUUCCAAGGGAUGGCAGAAAACAGUCCUUCCCCUGCUGUCCUUUCCCUGCCGGGGUCAGCGGCCUCCCCCUGCGCUGAGCACCUCACAGCAGAGGGGAGCACAGGAUGCUGCAGCAACCCCUGCUCAGGCCAACACCUCCAUUCCCGUGCUGGCUGUGUUAUUAAAAUAACAUUUCCACUUCCAAGUAAGUAAAUUAAUCUCGCUGGCAAGUUUGUCUUGUGACAGCCAACAUCUUGUCUCCCCGAGAACUGGGCUGGUGUCCUGAAAGCUGGAAAUCCAGCGCUAAAACCUGAGUGCAACAGCCAAGAGAUACACCAGAUCCAUCUUCUGAGGUAGCAGAUACAAUGAGAGAUCACAGUGCCCCUGAACUUUGCUGCCCUAAGGAGGCCGUGCUGCAGACCCGCCUCAGAAGGCCCGGCACACCUGCUUUGAGGCACAACGGGAAAAUCAGAACAUACCUUAUCAUAAAUAUGCAUAUGUGACACGGGAACCUGCUGCCUUCUUGGAGAGAUGCCACAAUUGACAGAACAAAAAGUACAACAAAACUUCACAUCACCGGUGGAUCAGAAGAACAGAGCUCAUCCGAGGUAUGAGUCAUUUCCAUCAAAAGAGGAGGAUGCCUUGAUCUGUGCGCGAGUGAGCGCUGGAACAGCAGCUGUUGGAGCAAAUACAAACAUUCAUGCCAAGGAUUGUAAGGAUGGAGUUUAUCUAAUAUGUAAACAACCACCUGCUGCAAAUGAAAAAUUACACCCACAACCACCUGAAUAAGAUAAGCAUAUGAUGCGGGAAAUGAAGAGACAGAUUUAUUAUUAAUUUGCUGGAACUUUUGAACCAAACAUCUCUUUUGCAACGGAACAGUAGGAUGCACAAAGAAAUAGUACUCCUUGCCCCAGAUCUGCUCAGCAGCAUUUAUUUUGCCUAAGUGAUUUUCCUUUUUUUUUUUUCUUUUUUUUUUCUAAGUCUGGUGGAGAUGAAAACACCAACCCAAAGAAGAUAAUUAAAAGCUAAAUGAAACCACAUACAGCUGUGCUACUACAUGGCUAAUGAACAUGCAAAUAUAUACAUAUGACAAGGACAUAAUGCAGACUGGCUGCCUUGAGUGCUUAGUGCAGAUUUCCAAGAGCUGGAAAUGCUAUUGAUUAUAACUGAGCUAAACUUCCUGACUCCAGACUUCAAAGAUCAGCCUCAAUAUAAUCAUCACGCAGCAUAUGGAAACAUGGCUGCUAGGAGCUGAUGAAUAAUGGCUCGGGGACCUGAACAUUUGCACGUAGGAUGGGAGAUGUCCUCUUGGCCACUGAGGAGGCCUGGAGGCUUCUCGGCAGCCAGGACCAGUGCCAUAUAAUCCUCCUCAGUCUUGGCAUGCUCCAUCUUGCUGUCAGUUGAGAUUUUGGAGUAGUGGGUUUUAGUUGGGAUAUUUAUUUUUGCUUUCCCACUUCACUUGGCAAGAAGCUAAUGUGUGGAGGACACAUUUCUGUGAGGACCAAGGCUGUAGGUAACAGACAUAAGGCAAAGCUUCUGGGCUCACAGGAGACACAAGCAAGAUGGACAGGUUCUUCUCUGAGGGCCUUCUUGUAUACUGGCAUGAAAGAAGAUCAAAUCAGAUUUCUCUUAUUAGUUAAAAAAUACCGACCCAAUUCAAUUUACCAUGAGAUGUCAAAUACAGGGAAAAAAAAAAAAGUUUGGAAACAUUGACGUGUGGUCUUGAAUUGAGUGAGAAUAAGCUACCAUUGAUCCCUCUGAUCUUGCAUCCAGCCAGACUAUAAAAUGCAAAACAAAACUUGUUCCUCCUCCACAAUGACACCCAAAACAGCACAUAGUCUUGGGGACUUUUGCGGGCCAUGUUUAGAAGAGCAGCAAGGAGAAUGCAGAGCACCCUCGGACCUUGGUGUAGAAGAUGGCUGAGCCACCAGGACAGGAGAGAGGCCACCUACAGAAACCAAAUUUGUGCUGAACACAAUGCCAAAACUGUGAUGGAUGGGUGUGCGUGUUUGCUGUUGAGUACACAGGGCUCCUCACAACGCUCAAGGCAAAGAUGGACGCUACUUCUCCCAUGAAGGGUAACCACAUGUGAAGAGAGAGAUUCCAAUUCAAGAUUUCUUACUGUGCCUUUGCCAGAGACAUUCCUAAGGAGAUGGAAACUCUCUGAAUGUGGAAUUUUCGCAUGAGUGCAAAAUAAUAAAAAGCAUGUGUGUAUUAAAAAGGGAUCAACUUAAUGGGAAAUGAGCAUUGGGUUACAUUAAUAUUCUAUUACAGUAAAAAUCAUAUUUAAUAAAUUUUCUCCAGAUUUUUCAGAA